rnacentral:rRNA from 1 species
AGCGGCGGAUGGGUGAGUAACACGUGGGGAACCUGCCCCUAAGUCUGGGAUACCAUUUGGAAACAGGUGCUAAUACCGGAUAAUAAAGCAGAUCGCAUGAUCAGCUUUUGAAAGGCGGCGUAAGCUGUCGCUAAGGGAUGGCCCCGCGGUGCAUUAGCUAGUUGGUAAGGUAACGGCUUACCAAGGCGACGAUGCAUAGCCGAGCUGAGAGACUGAUCGGCCACAUUGGGACUGAGACACGGCCCAAACUCCUACGGGAGGCAGCAGUAGGGAAUCUUCCACAAUGGACGCAAGUCUGAUGGAGCAACGCCGCGUGAGUGAAGAAGGUUUUCGGAUCGUAAAGCUCUGUUGUUGGUGAAGAAGGAUAGAGGUAGUAACUGGCCUUUAUUUGACGGUAAUCAACCAGAAAGUCACGGCUAACUACGUGCCAGCAGCCGCGGUAAUACGUAGGUGGCAAGCGUUGUCCGGAUUUAUUGGGCGUAAAGCGAGCGCAGGCGGAAAAAUAAGUCUAAUGUGAAAGCCCUCGGCUUAACCGAGGAACUGCAUCGGAAACUGUUUUUCUUGAGUGCAGAAGAGGAGAGUGGAACUCCAUGUGUAGCGGUGGAAUGCGUAGAUAUAUGGAAGAACACCAGUGGCGAAGGCGGCUCUCUGGUCUGCAACUGACGCUGAGGCUCGAAAGCAUGGGUAGCGAACAGGAUUAGAUACCCUGGUAGUCCAUGCCGUAAACGAUGAGUGCUAAGUGU